AGGAGAAACUCUGGGGAGAUGCGGAAUUCUCAAUACUGAGCCCCCCCACCCCAGACGCCGCCUCGGGGCCUGAGCCCUUGAGAGCCACUCCUGGGGCCCUGGGACUUUGCCCUCACCCUCCUCCUACUGUGCAGGGUGUAUCUCAAUGUCUCCCCGAGUCUUCGCCCGGGGACUGAGAAACCAGUGAGAAACCGUCGGCAUGGACUGAGUCCAUCUCCCUUCAGUUCUCAUUCCGAAAUCUCCGUCCCUUGACGGAACUUUCUGCCUCCCACUCCAUACCUGGACUCCCCUGGACUCUUUUGGAAGAAAACUCACCCCAAGGAGCUUGGUGCCAGAGAAUGAACUUGUCCUGAGAAUGAAGGAUGCCGACUCCUGCGUCCUUCUCAACCUGGGCAUCGUGCCACCACCUUUAAGAAGAGAAAAACUAAGUAGUGCUUUGCGAAGGGGCAGCAGCAUUUCUCACUUCUGACCACAUCAGGCGCACGGCCAUGCAGAUGAGCAGGUGGGGGACACAGAGAGGCUGUGAACACCCUAUCUCACCUACCUCAGAAGGACAGUACAGCAGUAGCCACCAUGACCAAGAAAGAUGAUUCCAGAAGUGCAGGACAACUCCCCACCCAGAUGCGGUGGCUGUGUAGUUACACACCAAGAGCUACUACUGUUGGCUGGCUGGAAAAAAAUAGAACAAUAGUAAAAAUUGGAGACAAGUCUUUGGUGAUGAAAAGAAAUAUUGGCUACUUCCAGUAUUUUCUAGCUUUGGUUAUGGUUGCAGUUUUCCAGCUCACCUUGUGGGGAUGAAUUCAGAAAAAAACUUCUGUUACAAAUUGAAAGGAACAUUCCAGAAGUAUUGGCUCAAAUCAGCCUUGCCCUAUUAAGCCACUUAGUGAAUCAAAAGACUGCUUGUUGGACUGUUAAUCUCGGUGGCCAGAGAAAGGAGCUGAAGAAGGUGUUGUCAGAUCAGGAACAAAUAAUUACAGCGGCAAUAGAAAAUGGAAGGCCACUUGUUCAUAACCAUUUGAAUAAGGGCAAGGUAUAUGGAAACACAUUAUGAACUGAUAUUUUCAGUUUUGUUUGCAAGAAAAUAGGCCAGGCGCGGUGGCUCACGCCUGUAAUCCCAGCACUUUGGGAGGCUGAGGCGGGUGGAUCUCAAGGUCAAGAGUUCGAGGCCAGCCAGGCCAAGAUGGUGAAACACCAUCGCUACUAAAAAUGGAAAAAUUAGCCAGGCACGGUGGUAGGUGCCUGUAAUGCCAGCUACUCAGGAGGCUGAGGCAGGAGAAUCGCUUGAACCAGGGAGGCAGAGCUUGCACUGAGCCGAGAAUGUGCCACUGCACUCUAGCCUGGGUGACAGAGCAAGACUCCAUCUCAAAAAAAAAAGAAAAGAAAAGAAAGAAAAUGAUUAAUGGGGUAAAAUAAUUGAAGUAUCACAGAAGAUACACUAAAAAAAAAGAAAGAAAGAAAAAAGCCUUUGUAUAGUUUGCUGGAGCCACAGAAGCCGUACUCCAGAGCAGAACGAUGCCUGAAUCUUCAGGGUCCAUUUGUGCCGCAUUCACUAGCAGCCACAAACGUGACUUAAUUUUACUUUGGAAAUAAUGCUUACCUAUUGUGAGAGGCUGUAAUAUGAACCAUCAUUACAUGUUAACAUGGCACAUGGAAUUUUGAGUGCCUGAGUUACAUUUUUAGAGUUGUUUGUUAGUAGCCAUGUGAGUUUCCACUCCAAAAACACAAGCUAACAACUUGUUUUAAGUGAAGGACAUCUAGGGCAAAUGGUGGCUGAAGGUGAGUAAGAUCCCAAUUACUCUUGCUUGUACUGUCUAAGGAAAAGAAAAUAACUGCUUUUCUUGUUGGGUGUUUGCUAAUUUAUAAUUACUGUUUUAUGCUUUUCAACAUUUUUAAUAAAGAUUUUUUAUUGUUGGCUACA
ensembl:lncRNA